UUCCUGUGUUUGUAUGAAAAUGAAGACUACUGUCUGAUUGAGGAACAGUAGGGGAAGAACCGAAGAACAGACCUUGGCUGCAUGGCUUUGGCCGCCUGGAAUCAUCCCAGCUUCUGUGUGCAGCGAAUCAAACCUCUGCAGCCUCCUUGGUGGUGACUGCAUCUUCUCUGAUGCAAAUCCAGAGUCUGCACCCCCUUCAGCAGCUCCAUUGCCGUUUGUCUUCAGAGGCUCAGCCAUCCUCUCAAGGUACGAUGAUAUCUUACUCGGUCCUACCUCUUCUGUUGUUUAAUAAUGACCUGCUUUUAUAAGCAUACCGGGUGGGGCCGGGGAUGACAACAUGUUGUUAUUACUUUUCUUGCAACGGUGUGAUUUGAACCUGUGGUGCUGGAGUCUGAAUGGGAUCCUCGUGCAACAAACAGACUUCUCACUGAAUGCUGGUGAAGUCAAAUAUUGUUAUCAUCCCCUUUGCGCAUGCUAGUCCUCUUUCAGUGCAGAAAUUGGGAAUCCUGUGAUCUGCAACAACUAAGGAAGGUGGCUACAGGGGAAGACACGCAAAUAAGCCAGGAAGGUGGCUAAGGGGGAAUGCACGUUGGCUUUUCAAAAGUAGCAUCUCUUGUCACAUGUGGACUUGUGAGUGGCGUAGCCUGUCUCUACCAGAAGCCACGCGUCGACGACGACGAAGGCGUCCAUGUGGCCAUCCAAUCAGCGUCAACAACUUUGAACAGUGUGUACAUAACUGAUGGCCCAAAGUGGCAGCCAACAGUAUUGACCUCGUUGCCGUGUCUCCAACUCGAGCAGCUGUUCUAGGCGAGCUGUUGAUUCCGCUGCAAGCCCGGUGGUUUCAACUCCCUUUCGCUGAAAUCUGAUGCGUUGCUGCAAACGUGGACUUGACCGGAUACACUUGCUCGCCAUAGCGCACGCCGGCAGGAUCUUUGUGAAGAACGGUCUUGCUGAUGGUGGCAUCCGAGGGGAGGAGCCAGCUGCCUGGCUAAAGCUACCAAGCUCUUUUGACCAUGCGCGCGUGAUCUCGG